CCUACGGGAGGCAGCAGUGGGGGAUAUUGCACAAUGGGGGGAACCCUGAUGCAGCGACGCCGCGUGGGUGAAGAAGCGCCUCGGCGCGUAAAGCUCUGUCAGCAGGGAAGAAAAUGACGGUACCUGAAGCAGAAGCCCCGGCUAACUACGUGCCAGCAGCCGCGGUAAUACGUAGGGGGCAAGCGUUAUCCGGAUUUACUGGGUGUAAAGGGGGCGCAGACGGCGAUGCAAGCCAGGAGUGAAAGCCCGGGGCCCAACCCCGGGACUGCUCUUGGAACUGCGUGGCUGGAGUGCAGGAGGGGCAGGCGGAAUUCCUGGUGUAGCGGUGAAAUGCGUAGAUAUCAGGAGGAACACCGGUGGCGAAGGCGGCCUGCUGGACUGCAACUGACGUUGAGGCCCGAAAGCGUGGGGAGCAAACAGGAUUAGAUACCCCAGUAGUC
rnacentral:rRNA from 1 species